rnacentral:rRNA from 1 species
CCCUUAGACGUUCUGGGCCGCACGCGCGCUACACUGAUGCAUUCAACGAGCACCCGCUGGGCCGAGAGGUCCGGCUAAUCUUUGAACGUGCAUCGUGCUGGGGAUAGAUGAUUGCAAUUAUUCAUCUUCAACGAGGAAUUCCUAGUAAACGCAAGUCAUCAGCUUGCAUUGAUUACGUCCCUGCCCUUUGUACACACCGCCCGUCGCACCUACCGAUUGAAUGGUCCGGUGAAAUUCUCGGACGCGGACUUGCGAUGUUAAUUCGGAGCUUGACUGUGAAAGUUAAUUAAACCUUACCAUUUAGAGGAAGGUGAAGUCGUAACA